CAGCCGCCGCGGUAACACAGAGGGUGCGAGCGUUAAUCGGAUUUACUGGGCGUAAAGCGUGCGUAGGCGGCUAAUUGAGUCGGAUGUGAAAUCCCCGAGCUUAACUUGGGAAUUGCAUUCGAUACUGGUUAGCUAGAGUGUGGGAGAGGAUGGUAGAAUUCCAGGUGUAGCGGUGAAAUGCGUAGAGAUCUGGAGGAAUACCGAUGGCGAAGGCAGCCAUCUGGCCUAACACUGACGCUGAGGUACGAAAGCAUGGGGAGCAAACAGGAUUAGAUACCCCGGUAGUCCCUGUCUCUUAUAA
rnacentral:rRNA from 1 species